rnacentral:rRNA from 1 species
GUGCCAGCAGCCGCGGUAAUACGGAGGGUGCAAGCGUUAUCCGGAUUCACUGGGUUUAAAGGGAGCGUAGGCGGACUUGUAAGUCCGUGGUGAAAGCCCUCAGCUUAACUGAGGAACUGCCAUGGAUACUAUAAGUCUUGAAUGUCGUUGAGGUUUGCGGAAUAGGUCAUGUAGCGGUGAAAUGCUUAGAUAUGACCUAGAACACCUAUUGCGAAGGCAGCAGGCUAAACGAAUAUUGACGCUGAGGCUCGAAAGCGUGGGGAUCAAACAGGAUUAGAAACCCGUGUAGUCC